rnacentral:misc_RNA from 1 species
GAUGAAGAACGCAGCGAAAUGCGAUAAGUAGUGUGAAUUGCAGAAUUCCGUGAAUCAUCGAAUCUUUGAACGCACAUUGCGCCUCCUGGUAGUCCGGGAGGCAUGCCUGUUCGAGCGUCACCAAAUCCAACUCAAGCGGUUUUGCGCUUGGUCGUGGCGGAAGAGUCGGUCUGGUUGCCGUCUCCCCUCCGAAAAUCAACGGCGGAAAGUCACUGGCAGUCAGCGUAGUAGUAUCGUUCGCCGAACAUCCAGUGGCAUUCCUGCCGACGUACCCCCACAAUUCUCGUGAUUGACCUCGGAUCAGGUAGGGAUACCCGCUGAACUUAAGCAUAUCAAUAAGCGAGGA